AAAAUCUUAACUAAUUCCAGCUUUAACCCAAAAGUCCAAGUCCAAAGUCUCAUCUGAGACAAGGCAAGUUCCUUCUGCCUAUGAACGUGUAAAAUCAAAAACUUAUGCAAAUUUCUGCAGCAGGCUUGAAUGUCUCCCUAGAAAAUGGGUUUUUCUUUUCUAUUGCAUCAUCAGGCUGCAAAUUUUGUAAACUCUUAUGCUCUGCUUCAUCUUGAACCCUUUGCUGCUUAGAAAUUUCUUUCUCCAGAUACCCUAAAUCAUCUCUCUCAGGUUCAAAGU
rnacentral:lncRNA from 1 species